rnacentral:rRNA from 1 species
GACGAACGCUGGCGGCGUGCUUAACACAUGCAAGUCGAACGGAAAGGCCCUGCUUUUGUGGGGUGCUCGAGUGGCGAACGGGUGAGUAACACGUGAGUAACCUGCCCUUGACUUUGGGAUAACUUCAGGAAACUGGGGCUAAUACCGGAUAGGAGCUCCUGCUGCAUGGUGGGGGUUGGAAAGUUUCGGCGGUUGGGGAUGGACUCGCGGCUUAUCAGCUUGUUGGUGGGGUAGUGGCUUACCAAGGCUUUGACGGGUAGCCGGCCUGAGAGGGUGACCGGCCACAUUGGGACUGAGGUACGGCCCAGAAUGCUACGGGCGGCAGGAGUGGAGAAUAUUGCACAAUGGGCGGAAGCCUGAUACAGCAACGCCGCGUGCGGGAUGACGGCCUUCGGGUUGUAAACCGCUUUCGCCUGAGACGAAGCGUGAGUGACGGUAAUGGGUAAAGAAGCACCGGCUAACUACGUG